UGUGAGCUCGAUGAGUAGGGCGGGACACGUGGUAUCCUGUCUGAAUAUGGGGGGACCAUCCUCCAAGGCUAAAUACUCCUGACUGACCGAUAGUGAACCAGUACCGUGAGGGAAAGGCGAAAAGAACCCCGGCGAGGGGAGUGAAAAAGAACCUGAAACCGUGUACGUACAAGCAGUGGGAGCACAGAGCAAUCUGUGUGACUGCGUACCUUUUGUAUAAUGGGUCAGCGACUUAUAUUCUGUAGCAAGGUUAACCGAAUAGGGGAGCCGAAGGGAAACCGAGUCUUAACUGGGCGUUAAGUUGCAGGGUAUAGACCCGAAACCCGGUGAUCUAGCCAUGGGCAGGUUGAAGGUUGGGUAACACUAACUGGAGGACCGAACCGACUAAUGUUGAAAAAUUAGCGGAUGACUUGUGGCUGGGGGUGAAAGGCCAAUCAAACCGGGAGAUAGCUGGUUCUCCCCGAAAGCUAUUUAGGUAGCGCCUCGUGAAUUCAUCUCCGGGGGUAGAGCACUGUUUCGGCAAGGGGGUCAUCCCGACUUACCAACCCGAUGCAAACUGCGAAUACCGGAGAAUGUUAUCACGGGAGACACACGGCGGGUGCUAACGUCCGUCGUGAAGAGGGAAACAACCCAGACCGCCAGCUAAGGUCCCAAAGUCAUGGUUAAGUGGGAAACGAUGUGGGAAGGCCCAGACAGCCAGGAUGUUGGCUUAGAAGCAGCCAUCAUUUAAAGAAAGCGUAAUAGCUCACUGGUCGAGUCGGCCUGCGCGGAAGAUGUAACGGGGCUAAACCAUGCACCGAAGCUGCGGCAGCGACGCUUAUGCGUUGUUGGGUAGGGGAGCGUUCUGUAAGCCUGUGAAGGUGUGCUGUGAGGCAUGCUGGAGGUAUCAGAAGUGCGAAUGCUGACAUAAGUAACGAUAAAGCGGGUGAAAAGCCCGCUCGCCGGAAGACCAAGGGUUCCUGUCCAACGUUAAUCGGGGCAGGGUGAGUCGACCCCUAAGGCGAGGCCGAAAGGCGUAGUCGAUGGGAAACAGGUUAAUAUUCCUGUACUUGGUGUUACUGCGAAGGGGGGACGGAGAAGGCUAUGUUGGCCGGGCGACGGUUGUCCCGGUUUAAGCGUGUAGGCUGGUUUUCCAGGCAAAUCCGGAAAAUCAAGGCUGAGGCGUGAUGACGAGGCACUACGGUGCUGAAGCAACAAAUGCCCUGCUUCCAGGAAAAGCCUCUAAGCAUCAGGUAACAUCAAAUCGUACCCCAAACCGACACAGGUGGUCAGGUAGAGAAUACCAAGGCGCUUGAGAGAACUCGGGUGAAGGAACUAGGCAAAAUGGUGCCGUAACUUCGGGAGAAGGCACGCUGAUAUGUAGGUGAGGUCCCUCGCGGAUGGAGCUGAAAUCAGUCGAAGAUACCAGCUGGCUGCAACUGUUUAUUAAAAACACAGCACUGUGCAAAC
rnacentral:rRNA from 1 species